UAUCUGCCCAAGAUGUGAAGUACAAGAUAGCCAACCUUACUGCUAAAUACAGAAAAUGCAAGGAGGCGAUUGGACCCUCAGGAGCUUCACCGGCGUCGUGGCAUUUGUACGAAGCUGUUCAUAAAGUGAUUGGCGCUCACCGUAUAAACAACGUCAAUGUUUGUGUGGAAGAGAGCAUUGAAUAAUUCGCGUCAGCCUCUCCCCUAUCCUCCACUGAACUGGCGCUGCCCUCGCCGCCUUCGGAACGAGCAUCG